rnacentral:tRNA from 1 species
GGGCGUGUGCCGGAGUGGUCAAACGGGCCUGACUGUAAAUCAGGUGGCUUCGCCUUCGGGGGUUCGAAUCCCUCCGCGCCCA